AAAGAAUGCAGUUUUGCAUUUUUUCCACCUAACGUUUGACCUAUUCGUCUUAUUGAAAAUUAUUUUUAUGAUUGGUAUUUUUAUUGUUAUUAUAUGAUAAAACAUGAAUUGUGCUUUAAAUGUGACUAACUUUUUUUAUUUUUUAUAAACUUUCAAACGAAACGGAUGAUCAAAUGUUGGAUACGGAAACCCACAACUACACUUAAU
rfam:Oryza punctata chromosome 6, whole genome shotgun sequence.